CAGAUUUUAUCCAAUCAUUAUAGCUUCCAGCCUCAUUUCAAGAAUUUAUAUCAUGGGGAAUUGUCUGGGAAUGGACUUUCGAAGCCAACCUGGACAACCAGAGAGCCAGAGGAUUACGCGAUUUCCUCCACGUUUUAAACAUGGAGUCCAGAAGAGAAGCAGAAGUGUAAGCUUUUCUUUGAACACUGAAGCUAAUGCAGGAACUGUGAAACACGAUGAGAAAUACGGAGCUCACGAUUUCGUGAAGGUUGCCAUGAUAGACAACAAGCUUCAUGUCUACAACAUUACAUCCUUCAGUUACAACACCCUGAAGGCUGCGACGCAGAAGUUCAGCAAGAAGAAUCUGCUAGGCGAAGGUGGCUCGGGCGAUGUUUUCAAGGGCUGGAUAAAUCUUUCCACCAUGACUGCUGCAAAACCGAAAGGCGGUCACCCUGUUGCAGUCAAGAGGCUAAAACAGGAAAGACUUCAAGGCCGGGAAGAAUGGAUGGUAGGAAAACUGAUAAUGUGGCCGUUUGACUAAACUUAUUUUUCAGAAAUAAGGGCUUAUUGCUGAAAAAAAAAGUACAUCAAACUCAACUUUUUUAUGAAAUAAGUCCUUAUUUUUUUCCCACAUAAUGAAUAUUAAACACCUUCUUAACAUUUGUAUCCAACAAAAUUAUAAAAAUAUACAUUUUAGGAAGAAAAAAAAAUAAGCCCUUGAUAAGGGCUUGAUUUAUGUAGCCAAACAGGCUCAAUGUUCUUGAUUUUACGGGCAAUUAAGCCAGUGUUUGUACUAAUACAUCUUGUUGCAGACAGAACUAAGUUUUCUGAAAAGGUUGAACCAUCCAAAUGUGGUUAAAAUCAUAGGAUACUGCUGUGAGGAUGACCACAGUAUGUUGGUUUUCGAAUACAUGCCUAAAGGAAGCUUAGAAACAAGUCUACUAGAAGGUAAGCCCCGAGCUAAUAUACGCUAAUCCAAGCACAAAAUGUGGCAUAAGUAAAGAAGUUUUAUAUGACACAAGCAGGAGAGAGUGACCUGAACUGGAGUACAAGACUCAAAAUUGCUGUUGGCUCUGCAAAAGGCUUAGAGUAUCUGCAUGGAACAAGCUUACCAGUCAUUCACCGCGAUAUGAAGUCUUCUAACAUUCUUCUCGACGAUGACUAUACACCAAAAAUCUCAGAUUUCGGACUAGCUAAGUUCGGGCCUCAAGAUGACAAGAGUCACACCUCUUCCAGGGUGCUGGGAACUAAAGGCUACUUUGCCCCUGAGUACGUAGGAACAGCUUCGGAGUAGUACUCCUUGAAAUCCUGUCUGGGCGUUUAGCAGUCACUAGGUCAUAUUCUGGAGGGUCUGAAGAUCUAGUCGAGUGGGGAAAACCAUUUCUUGACAGUAAGCAACAAUUGCAUUGCAUUAUUGACAAGAAAAUGGGAAGGACCAUGACAAGAAAAGAAGCAAACAGAUUUGCUAAAAUCAUACGCCAGUGCCUUAACCAGAAGCCAAAACGAAGACCAACUAUGAAAGAGGUGGUGCGAUCCCUAGAAGAAUUAGAACAGGGCUUGAACCAAAAUGGUCAGAAACCAGUUCACUGUUUUAUGAAGAAUCAAAAACAUAACCACCCUCAAUACUUGCAUGACCACAAAAAAGAUUAUUGUUCUACAACUUCAGUAGCGUAGGCGCGUAGCGAUAAACAAUGAAGUAGACCUAAAUGUAAUACUCUUAUCUAGCACUUGAGUUAUAUAUAAGUAAUUAAUGUACCAACAUGUAUCAAUGGUAGGUCUAAAAACGUCUCAAUACUAUCACUUUCGCAUAUAAUCACAAUAGUUAACUGAUCAUGCACAAAGUACAUCUAUCAAUCAUCGUAGACAACUGACAACAUACUAUUCUGCAGAUGGCAAGAUUCUAUACCAAAAGACUAUA